GACGGAGGGGGCUAGCGUUGUUCGGAAUUACUGGGCGUAAAGGGCGCGUAGGUGGUUAUCUAAGUUAGGUGUUAAAGACCCGGGCUUAACCUGGGGAGUGCACUUAAUACUGGAUGACUUGAGUAUGGAAGAGGAAAGUGGAAUUCCUAGUGUAGAGGUAAAAUUCGUAGAUAUUAGGAGGAACCCCAGUGGCGAAGGCGACUUUCUGGUCCAUAACUGACACUGAGGCGCGAAAGCGUGGGGAGCAAACAGG
rnacentral:rRNA from 1 species